ACGGAAGGCAGCAGUAGGGAAUCUUCCACAAUGGGCGAAAGCCUGAUGGGGCAACGCCGCGUGAGUGAAGAAGGAUUUCGGUUCGUAAAACUCUGUUGCAAGGGAAGAACAAGUAGCGUAGUAACUGGCGCUACCUUGACGGUACCUUGUUAGAAAGCCACGGCUAACUACGUGCCAGCAGCCGCGGUAAUACGUAGGUGGCGAGCGUUGUCCGGAAUUAUUGGGCGUAAAGCGCGCGCAGGUGGUUUCUUAAGUCUGAUGUGAAAGCCCACGGCUCAACCGUGGAGGGUCAUUGGAAACUGGGAGACUUGAGUGCAGAAGAGGAUAGUGGAAUUCCAAGUGUAGCGGUGAAAUGCGUAGAGAUUUGGAGGAACACCAGUGGCGAAGGCGACUAUCUGGUCUGUAACUGACACUGAGGCGCGAAAGCGUGGGGAGCAAACAGGAUUAGAUACCCUGGUA
rnacentral:rRNA from 1 species